GACGAACGCUGGCGGCGUGCUUAACACAUGCAAGUCGAACGGAAAGGCCCUGCUUUCGUGGGGUGCUCGAGGGGCGAACGGGUGAGUAACACGUGAGUAACCUGCUCUUGACUUUGGGAUAACUUCAGGAAACUGGGGCUAAUACCGGAUAGGAGCCCCUGCUGCAUGGUGGGGGUUGGAAAGUUUCGGCGGUUGGGGAUGGACGCGCGGCUUAUCAGCUUGUUGGUGGGGUAGUGGCUUACCAAGGCUUUGACGGGUAGCCGGCCUGAGAGGGUGACCGGCCACAUUGGGACUGAGAUACGGCCCAGACUCCUACGGGAGGCAGCAGUGGGGAAUAUUGCACAAUGGGCGGAAGCCUGAUGCAGCAACGCCGCGUGCGGGAUGACGGCCUUCGGGUUGUAAACCGCUUUCGCCUGUGACGAAGCGUGAGUGACGGUAAUGGGUAAAGAAGCACCGGCUAACUACGUG
rnacentral:rRNA from 1 species